GUAAGGAAUAUUGGACAAUGGGCGAAAGCCUGAUCCAGCCAUGCCGCGUGAGUGACGAAGGCCUUAGGGUUGUAAAGCUCUUUCAGCUGUGAAGAUAAUGACGGUAUCCGGAGAAGAAGCCCCGGCUAACUUCGUGCCAGCAGCCGCGGUAAUACGAAGGGGGCUAGCGUUGUUCGGAAUUACUGGGCGUAAAGCGCACGUAGGCGGACAUUUAAGUCAGGGGUGAAAUCCCGGGGCUCAACCCCGGAACUGCCUUUGAUACUGGGUGUCUGGAGUAUGGAAGAGGUAAGUGGAAUUCCGAGUGUAGAGGUGAAAUUCGUAGAUAUUCGGAGGAACACCAGUGGCGAAGGCGGCUUACUGGUCCAUUACUGACGCUGAGGUGCGAAAGCGUGGGGAGCAAACAGGAUUAGAUACCCCAGUAGUCC
rnacentral:rRNA from 1 species